GUGCCAGCAGCCGCGGUAAUACGUAGGGCGCGAGCGUUAUCCGGAAUUAUUGGGCGUAAAGAGCUCGUAGGCGGUUUGUCGCGUCUGCUGUGAAAGCCCGGGGCUUAAACCCCGGGUGUGCAGUGGGUACGGGCAGACUAGAGUGCAGUAGGGGAGACUGGAAUUCCUUGGUGUAGCGGUGAAAUGCGCAGAUAUCAGGAGGAACACCGAUGGCGAAGGCAGGUCUCUGGGCUGUUACUGACGCUGAGGAGCGAAAGCAUGGGGAGCGAACAGGAUUAGAUACCCUGGUAGUCC
rnacentral:rRNA from 1 species